UGAAGUAUCCAAGGGCGUGCGGUGGAUGCCUAGGCUCCCGGAGGCGACGAAGGACGUGACAAGCUGCGAAAAGCUUGGGGUAGCCGCAAAUAGGCUUUGAUCCCAAGAUGUCCGAAUGGGGCAACCCAACAUAUUGAAGAUAUGUUAUCCCCUUAUGGGGAGGCGAACCCGCCGAACUGAAACAUCUAAGUAGGCGGAGGAAGAGAAAACAACAGUGAUACCGCGAGUAGUGGUGAGCGAAAGCGGCAGAGCCCAAACCGAUUCUGUUACGGCAGAGUCGGGGUUGUAGGACCCUCAAAUGAUGUCGGAAGGAUAACGGAACAAUUCUGGAAAGUAUGACCGAAGAAGGUGACAGUCCUGUAUGUGAAAUCCCGAAGACGCGGGGGGGUAUCCUGAGUAGGGCGGGACCGGAGGAAUCCUGCCUGAACCCGGCGGCACCAUCCGCCAAGGCUAAACACUCCCGGGAGACCGAUAGUGUACCAGUACCGUGAGGGAAAGGUGAAAAGCACCGCGAGCAGCGGAGUGAAAUAGUACCUGAAACCGCGCGCCUGCAAGCUGUGGGAGCCAAUUUUUGGUGACCGCGUGCCUUUUGCAUAAUGAGCCUACGAGUUGCUCCUCACUGGCGAGGUUAAGGGCCUGGAGGUCCUGAGCCGGAGCGAAAGCGAGUCUGAACAGGGCGCUGUAGUCAGUGGGGGCAGACGCGAAACUUUGUGAUCUACGCAUGGCCAGGCUGAAGGUCGGGUAAAACCGGCUGGAGGGCCGAACUGGUUUCCGUUGAAAAGGAUUCGGAUGAGCUGUGCGUAGGGGUGAAAGGCUAAUCAAACUGAGAGAUAGCUCGUACUCCCCGAAAUGCCUUUAGGGGCAGCCUCGGGCAAUAGCCGCACGGAGGUAGAGAUACUGAUUGGGCGCGGGGGCUUCACCGCCUACCAACCCCAGCCAAACUCCGAAUGCCGUGCGGUGUUCCCCGGGAGUGAGGCCGCGGGUGCUAACGUCCACGGCCGAGAGGGAAAGAACCCGGACCAUCGGCUAAGGUCCCGGAGCGUGUGCUAAGUUGUGUUAACGAGGUCCGACUGCACUGACAGCCAGGAUGUUGGCUUGGAAGCAGCCAUUCAUUCAAAGAGUGCGUAACAGCUCACUGGUCGAGCGGUCGGGUAUGGAUAAUGAGCGGGCAUGAAGCACACCACCGAAGCCAUGGGAUACAUGAUAUCGGUAGGGGAGCAUUCCAUUCUACGUUGAAGGUGAAUCGUGAGGUUUGCUGGAGUGUAUGGAAAAGCAAAUGUAGGCAUAAGUAACGACAAUGGGGGUGUGAAACCCCCACACCGGAAGUCCAAGGGUUCCUGAUCAACGCUAAUCGGAUCAGGGUCAGUCGGGUCCUAAGACGAACCCUCUGCAGAGGAGGGGCAGCCGAUGGACAACGGGUUAAUAUUCCCGUACCGGCCAACAUUGCGAAGCGGGGACGGAGGAGCGAAACAUCCGCCAUCUGACGGAAUAGAUGGUUGAAACAGUUAGGUAUAGGCCUUACAGUCAAGUACGUGAGGUCUGCUGAGCUGUGACAGUACACUGAGGCUUCGGCCGAGGUGACAGCGAUGUGGAGCAUACUCCCGAGAAAAGCCGCUAAGCUUCAGGUGUUGGCCGCCCGUACCGGAAACCGACACAGGUGGACGAGGAGAGUAUCCAAAGGUGCUCGAGUGAGUCAUGGCUAAGGAAUUAGGCAAACUAACCCUGUAACUUCGGAAGAAAGGGUCCUCCUUUAAGGGAGGCGCAGAGAAAUGGCCCAGGCGACUGUUUAGCAAAAACACAAGGCUUUGCGAAAUCGAAAGAUGAGGUAUAAGGCCUGACACCUGCCCGGUGCCGGAAGGUUAAGAGGAGAUGUCACCGCAAGGGAAGCAUUGAAUUGAAGCCCCGGUAAACGGCGGCCGUAACUAUAACGGUCCUAAGGUAGCGAAAUUCCUUGUCGGGUAAGUUCCGACC
rnacentral:rRNA from 1 species